rnacentral:rRNA from 1 species
GACGAACGCUGGCGGCGUGCUUAACACAUGCAAGUCGAACGGAAAGGCCCUGCUUUUGUGGGGUGCUCGAGUGGCGAACGGGUGAGUAACACGUGAGUAACCUGCCCUUGACUUUGGGAUAACUUCAGGAAACUGGGGCUAAUACCGGAUAGGAGCUCCUGCUGCAUGGUGGGGGUUGGAAAGUUUCGGCGGUUGGGGAUGGACUCGCGGCUUAUCAGCUUGUUGGUGGGGUAGUGGCUUACCAAGGCUUUGACGGGUAGCCGGCCUGAGAGGGUGACCGGCCACAUUGGGACUGAGAUACGGCCCAGACUCCUACGGGAGGCAGCAGUGGGGAAUAUUGCACAAUGGGCGGAAGCCUGAUGCAGCAACGCCGCGUGCGGGAUGACGGCCUUCGGGUUGUAAACCGCUUUCGCCUGUGACGAAGCGUGAGUGACGGUAAUGGGUAAAGAAGCACCGGCUAACUACGUGCCAGCAGCCGCGGUGAUACGUAGGGCGCGAGCGUUGUCCGGAUUUAUUGGGCGUAAAGGGCUCGUAGGUGGUUGAUCGCGUCGGAAGUGUAAUCUUGGGGCUUAACCCUGAGCGUGCUUUCGAUACGGGUUGACUUGAGGAAGGUAGGGGAGAAUGGAAUUCCUGGUGGAGCGGUGGAAUGCGCAGAUAUCAGGAGGAACACCAGUGGCGAAGGCGGUUCUCUGGGCCUUUCCUGACGCUGAGGAGCGAAAGCGUGGGGAGCGAACAGGCUUAGAUACCCUGGUAGUCCACGCUGUAAACGGUGGGUACUAGGUGUGGGGUCCAUUCCACGGGUUCCGUGCCGUAGCUAACGCUUUAAGUACCCCGCCUGGGGAGUACGGCCGCAAGGCUAAAACUCAAAGGAAUUGACGGGGCCCCGCACAAGCGGCGGAGCAUGCGGAUUAAUUCGAUGCAACGCGUAGAACCUUACCUGGGUUUGACAUGGAUCGGGAGUGCUCAGAGAUGGGUGUGCCUCUUUUGGGGUCGGUUCACAGGUGGUGUAUGGCUGCCGUCAGCUCGUGUCGUGAGAUGUUGGGUUAAGUCCCGCAACGAGCGCAACCCUUGUUCACUGUUGCCAGCACGUUAUGGUGGGGACUCAGUGGAGACCGCCGGGGUCAACUCGGAGGAAGGUGGGGAUGACGUCAAGUCAUCAUGCCCCUUAUGUCCAGGGCUUCACGCAUGCUACAAUGGCUGGUACAGAGAGUGGCGAGCCUGUGAGGGUGAGCGAAUCUCGGAAAGCCGGUCUCAGUUCGGAUUGGGGUCUGCAACUCGACCUCAUGAAGUCGGAGUCGCUAGUAAUCGCAGAUCAGCAACGCUGCGGUGAAUACGUUCCCGGG